UGACGCUGGAUAUGGGGGGUGCCACUAUGUGUGUGAUGGAGUCUGCAGUCCCAGUGUGACCCAACCCUCGCCAACACCUCAUGCCACGGAGUGUCAGGGUCCCACACAGGGUGACAAUGGGUCUAGGGGGUCACACUGGCCCUCAGAGCCACUCCCCACCCCAUGCCACAAUGUCUCAGUCGCACGGUGCGACAGUGGGUCUGGGGUCCCACGCAGCAUGACAAUGAGCCUGGGGUCACACUCAACCUGAGUCACCCCACCCUGCGGCACAGUGUAUCCCACUGAGGCCCCUCGGUCGCUCCCACUCGUCGUGCCCUCACCUAGUCAGGUCCCGCAGCCGCGCC
rnacentral:lncRNA from 1 species